rnacentral:rRNA from 1 species
AGGCUUCGGCAAUGGGGGAAACCCUGACCGAGCGACGCCGCGUGGAGGAUGAAGGCCUUUGGGUUGUAAACUCCUGUCAUGAGGGAAGAAACGUCACCGUUCGAAUAGGGCGGUGAUUUGACGGUACCUCAAGCGGAAGCACCGGCUAACUACGUGCCAGCAGCCGCGGUAAUACGUAGGGUGCGAGCGUUAAUCGGAAUUACUGGGCGUAAAGUGUGCGCAGGUGGCCGCGCAAGUCGAGUGUGAAAUCCCCGAGCUUAACUUGGGAAUUGCGCUCGAAACUACGUGGCUCGAGUGUGGCAGAGGAAGGUGGAAUUCCACGUGUAGCGGUGAAAUGCGUAGAGAUGUGGAGGAACACCGAUGGCGAAGGCAGCCUUCUGGGCCAACACUGACGCUCAUGCACGAAAGCGUGGGGAGCAAAC